AAAAAAUUAAAUUAACCAAUAAACAAAAUAUAGGAUGAAAUCGAGAGCAAAAUGAAAUUACAGGGUAAAACUACAAUAAAACAAACAAGAAAGACCAAAAUGGAAAUGCGCGCAAAUAUCAGGGACCAAUAGAGUAAUAAAACCCUUAUAAGGACACGUGUAUAUUGCUCAGUGCGCCAAAGGGUUGGGGACAAAAUCGAAAGACAGGCGAAAGUUCAGGGCCGAAUUAAAAACGACAAUAAUAUUGAACAAAAGGAAUUAAUUUAAAAUCAAAUAAAUACAGAAGGACCAAAGUUGCAAAUAGACCCUCAGGUAUGGAAACACGCGGACCUUCCUCGGGUCGGGUCGGGUCGACCUGAUCCAUGCCAAAACGACGCCGUUUUUUGACUAUUGCUGCUAGCCAAAACGACGCCGUACCAGAAGGCUAUAUAAGCCUAAAAAUCUUAAAAAAAUCAUUUU
rnacentral:lncRNA from 1 species